rnacentral:misc_RNA from 1 species
GUGUGGUUUUUUGGGUGGUGGUGGGGAGCUGGAUCUGAACACAAGAUGAAUCAUACUAGACCUAUCGGUGUUUGGCAUUUCCAUGUGAAAAAGUGAAUAUUUGUGUCAAAGUUUAAACCACCAUAAUACUUUGGUGCAUUCUGUAACUGAUUCUACACUUGAAAGUUGGUAGAAGCUCACCUAUUAAGAUUAGGAUGACUGAAGAUAUAGUUUUAUUAUGCGUACACUGGAAAUG